AACGAACGCUGGCGGCAGGCUUAACACAUGCAAGUCGAACGGGCGUAGCAAUACGUCAGUGGCAGACGGGUGAGUAACACGUGGGAACCUUCCUAGGGGUACGGAACAACUCAGGGAAACUUGAGCUAAUACCGUAUACGUCCGUGAGGAGAAAGAUUUAUCGCCCUUAGACGGGCCCGCGUCGGAUUAGGUAGUUGGUGGGUAACGGCCUACCAAGCCUACGAUCCGUAGCUGAUCUGAGAGGANGAUCAGCCACACUGGGACUGAGACACGGCCCAGACUCCUACGGGAGGCAGCAGUGGGGAAUCUUGGACAAUGGGCGCAAGCCUGAUCCAGCCAUGCCGCGUGAGUGAAGAAGGCCUUAGGGUUGUAAAGC
rnacentral:rRNA from 1 species